CCUACGGGAGGCAGCAGUGGGGAAUAUUGGACAAUGGGCGCAAGCCUGAUCCAGCAAUGCCGCGUGAGUGAUGAAGGCCUUAGGGUCGUAAAGCUCUUUUACCAGGGAUGAUAAUGACAGUACCUGGAGAAUAAGCUCCGGCUAACUCCGUGCCAGCAGCCGCGGUAAUACGGAGGGAGCUAGCGUUGUUCGGAAUUACUGGGCGUAAAGCGUACGUAGGCGGUUAUUCAAGUCAGAGGUGAAAGCCCGGGGCUCAACCCCGGAACGGCCUUUGAAACUAGGUAGCUAGAAUCUUGGAGAGGUCAGUGGAAUUCCGAGUGUAGAGGUGAAAUUCGUAGAUAUUCGGAAGAACACCAGUGGCGAAGGCGACUGACUGGACAAGUAUUGACGCUGAGGUACGAAAGCGUGGGGAGCAAACAGGAUUAGAUACCCUGGUAGUCCACGCCGUAAACGAUGAUAACUAGCUGUUCGGGCACUUGGUGCUUGAGUGGCGCAGCUAACGCAUUAAGUUAUCCGCCUGGGGAGUACGGUCGCAGNUUAAAACUCAAAGGAAUUGACGG
rnacentral:rRNA from 1 species